CUCAUGAGGUGUACGAAUAUUGACGAGAGAGAGAGUCAAUUACUCCUCUAGAGACUCGACGGUUCAUAUUUUGAAUAAUACAACAAGGUUUAUGACGGAUGAUGUAAUGCCUAGCUUUAUCGUGAAGGGAAAAAGGAGAAAAUGACUUUCCAAAAGCAGUUUUUCAAGGUGUUCAAGCAAGUGUCACUGUGUUAACUGCUACUGAACAUGAGGUUGAUGGGGCAAUUGGAUCCUGUCUGAAGUACGCUCCAGACAGACA